rnacentral:lncRNA from 1 species
AUAACUCAACGAGAGGAUGGUUAUUUGACAAUGAGAUCCAUCCAAAUCUUCAAUCUGAGUUGUUAGCAUGUGGCAGGCGAGAAUUUGCCAUCUGUCACAGAUAUUUGAUUUACAAGAAUAUUAAACAGGCAAGCUAUAUGUUAUGUGAGGACCUAUAAGAGCAUGUGUUUAGUCCUGCACCCACUCUUGACCACAGGGCGUAUCCUGAGUGGUGGGCCGCGUAGGCAGCCACCUAGUCAGCCGCCCCGUUGGCCUCUCUGAGUACAUGCUUGGCCUCGAAGGCCACACCAUCCCUUACCAUCACCUCAAUAUCCCGGAUUAGGAGGUGGUCUGUGCUCUCACCACUCGGACCCCUCUAAAUCCACCCAAUGACCGUAGCCGAAUCGCCCUCCAGGAUGAUCAACCGGCCCGCAACACUUGCCGCGCAUGGCGAAGACCGGCCCAGGCCGCUCGCAACUCCGCCCUCGGAACUGAUAUGUCGAACAACUAGCAGCCGCCCACUACCACUACCUUGGAGUGAGGGUCCCGUAUAACAAACUCUGCCCUGCCUC